rnacentral:rRNA from 1 species
AGAGUUUGAUCCUGGCUCAGGAUGAACGCUGGCGGCGUGCCUAACACAUGCAAGUCGAGCGAUCUUCUUCGGAAGAGAGCGGCGGACGGGUGAGUAACGCGUGGGUAACCUGCCUCAUACACAUGGAUAACAUACCGAAAGGUAUGCUAAUACAAGAUGAUAUAAGAGAUUCGCAUGGAUUUCUUAUCAAAGCUCCGGCGGUAUGAGAUGGACCCGCGUCUGAUUAGCUAGUUGGUAAGGUAACGGCUUACCAAGGCGACGAUCAGUAGCCGACCUGAGAGGGUGAUCGGCCACAUUGGAACUGAGACACGGUCCAAACUCCUACGGGAGGCAGCAGUGGGGAAUAUUGCACAAUGGGCGAAAGCCUGAUGCAGCAACGCCGCGUGAGCGAUGAAGGCCUUCGGGUCGUAAAGCUCUGUCCUCAAGGAAGAUAAUGACGGUACUUGAGGAGGAAGCCCCGGCUAACUACGUGCCAGCAGCCGCGGUAAUACGUAGGGGGCUAGCGUUAUCCGGAUUUACUGGGCGUAAAGGGUGCGUAGGUGGUUUCUUAAGUCAGGAGUGAAAGGCUACGGCUCAACCGUAGUAAGCUCUUGAAACUGGGAAACUUGAGUGCAGGAGAGGAAAGUGGAAUUCCUAGUGUAGCGGUGAAAUGCGUAGAUAUUAGGAGGAACACCAGUAGCGAAGGCGGCUUUCUGGACUGUAACUGACACUGAGGCACGAAAGCGUGGGGAGCAAACAGGAUUAGAUACCCUGGUAGUCCACGCCGUAAACGAUGAGUACUAGGUGUCGGGGGUUACCCCCCUCGGUGCCGCAGCU